CACACACACACACACCCAUGAACCAAUACGAAAACAAUGUUAGAAUUUAAGCAAACUUAUACAUGAUGAUACACAUCUAGCUAGUUACAGGCAAACGGAAGGGCCAAUCAGAUCAUUUAACCAGUAGUUUUCCCCGCGUUCCUAACAACUAAGUAUAACCGUAGAUCAUUCAUGCUCCAUAUUUUACACUAGAAAUAUAAUGCCUAUCAAAUGGUUCAAAGUUAUAUUUGUGUACACAAGCCUUCCUCCAUCCCCUAACCGAAAACAGGAUACAUCAGCCAACAGGGUUCUAAUGUGGGAAUUAUGGCACAUUAUUGGGAGCCAAUGUUUCCAUUCAGUGAGUUCCUUCACCGAGCUCCGGUCACCAUAUCCAAAUACAGGGUUAUCUGAUAACAUUGUAAGCAAUAACCAGCUCCAAGUGUUAUACCAUCCUGGUUAGUAAAAUAUAUUAAUGGGAAGCGGACGUUUAUAGAAUGAGUAAUGAAUCCCAGAAAUAUGCAAACACAUUGCUUUCCCCAAACUAUUCAUAAACGGCUGUUUAUUAGCAGCUGUGUCUACAAGUGGCCAUGGUUGUGGAUACAAUUGUUGAGGAUGGAUGAUCACCUCAAUGUAAAAACAGCUCAUAGGAAAUUAAUAUCCCUAAUAUUAAUAUCCCUAUUAUUUUGGUAAAUAAUAAAUACAAUACAAUGAUUAGAAUAUAUUGUGAACGUCUUCGCGUUCUGCUUUGCGUAGAUUACGCCGACAACGUUCCUCUAGAGGACUAUGAGGAAGACAGAGACAAUAUCUGGACAACCGCUUCCACAUUCAUUAUCUUGUUCUUCCUGAGCAUUUCCUACGGUGCUGCCGUAACUCUGGUGAAGGUCAAGUGACGAUUGAAUGUUGAAAACCGCGUAUUUAUCUGACCGGUCUAUGGACGUCGUUGUAACCAAGGGAAAUGUUCAAAUCAGAAGCGGACAAUGUCAUAAACAAUAGUUCAUUCUGUCUAUCUGACUUGUUUGAUAUUGCCUAGUUGCCUUUCGUAUAGCGUUAAUGUAUCAAAAUAUUUUAAUCGUAAUUUGAAUAUCAUGUGAAAAUAAGUCAAUUUUCUCAAACGGUAGACGUUUCUUUUCUUCUUUUUAUCUUUUUUUCUAUACAUUCUCUUUUUCUUUAGCAUGGGCCAUAUUUGUGUCCUUCCGGUGUUGAAUGCCGUUGUAUAGAAAGUCGGGAACGCUGUUUGUGUGAGAUCGUAAUCUUCAUGUUAAAUUCAGACACACUAUCUAUGCCUGUCAUUAUUCUAACAACUUCUACCGUGUCCCACUUCAACCUCCGAUGCGCCAAAGAAAACAAUCCAUGUUUGCCUCUUCUAGCUAAUAAUUCUAACCCGGGCUGCAGCAUUCUAGUAAACCUCUUCUGCAUCUUCUCCAAAGCCUCCACAUUAUCCCCUUGAAGGGACGACCUGACCUCCAAGUGCGGCCUAACCGAAGGCCUGUAAAUAAAUGUCAUGUAAAUGCACGUGUAAAUACAUACCCAACAAUCCAACGCGUGUGCACAUAUGAGCAAAUAUCUAUUUACUCCUUUUCUGCUCAAUUGCCCUUUCCUUAAUUCAGAGCUAACCUUUGACUCUCGAGCCACAUGUUCAAUGUACCUGGUCUCAGUGUGGAAUUCAGUUGUGUUGACCACUUCGUGUUAUGCUUUUAAAAAGGUCUCUGUAAUGUGUUUCUGUUAAAUCACAAAUAAAAGCGGAACUACAAAA